CUUUGACCGGAGGAAGCAGAGGGAUAAAGAAAACGAGAAAAUAAUAGUCCAAAGGCCAACUGAACUUGAAGUGAGACAAAAAAAAGAACAGUGUCCAUGAAGGAGUUCCUAGGAGAGACCGAGUCCGGAGAUGAGGGAAGAGCGUCUCCAGC